AAGCGAUUGGCGGACGCGGGGUGAAAGAGGCGGGACAAAUUGCCGCGGGUUCAGUGCCGCCACUGGAACCGGGAGAUGCGGCGCAGGAGCUGUCGGGGCUGUGUUGGCUUGUACCUGAGUCUCGUCUCCUGUGGCGGUUCCCGCUGCGGCUUCGGUCAUGUUGUUACCUUCGGACAUAGCGCGGCUGGUGCUGGGUUAUUUACAACAGGAAAACCUCACUUCUACCUGCCAGACUUUUAUUUUGGAAAGUUCAAAUUUAAAAGAAUAUGCAGAACACUGUACAGAUGAAGGUUUUAUCCCAGCCUGCUUACUGUCCUUGUUUGGAAAAAACUUGACAACAAUUUUGAAUGAAUAUGUAGCUAUGAAAGCAAAAGAAACGUCAAAUGAUGUCCCAGCAAUUAUGUCAUCUCUGUGGAAGAAGUUAGACCACACACUUUCUCAGAUCAGGAGCAUGCAAAGUUCCCCAGGGUUUGUUGCCAAUCAGAGAGUCCGAACAAGAAGUGGAAUUGCAGAAAUCAAGCGACAGAGGAGACUUGCAGCUCAAGCAGCUCCUAUCAAUUCAGAGCUGCUGACUUUAGCGUAUCUUUCAGGACAAUGUACUACUACUACUACUACUACUACUACUACUCCUUCAACAGCUACACAGGUUAUACGGCCACCUGGCCAGAUUUCAGCUCCCUUGAGGUCAAAUUUUGUAGUGGUCAACCAUUCACAGUCACAAGACAUUAUGGCCACUGGAGAGGCUUUAAAUAUCAUUCCUGGUCCUCAGGAAAAGAAAACUCAGGCCACUGUAAUGUCUCCUGCUAGACGCAAAAGUGAAUCUCAAAGGAAAAGUAACACUUUGUCUGGGCCUCAUUCAACAAUACGGAAUUUCCAAGAUCCAAAUGCAUUUGCAGUAGAAAAACAAAUGGUUAUUGAAAAUGCACGGGAAAAAAUAUUAAGUAACAAAUCUCUUCAAGAAAAGCUUGCAGAAAACAUUAAUAAAUUUUUGACUAGCGACAACAAUAUUGCUCAAAUACCUAAGCAAACAGACAGCAACCCUACGGAACCAGAGACUUCAAUUGAUGAACUCCUGGGACUUCAGAGUGAAAUCCAUAUGUCUGAGGAAGCUAUACAGGAUAUAUUAGAACAAACAGAAUCAGAUCCAGCAUUUCAGGCCCUCUUUGAUCUCUUUGACUAUGGUAAAUCAAAGAAUAAUAAAAAUAUAUCACAAGGUAUUUCCAGUCAGCAUCUGGAAACCAAUUCCAGUGUAGUCUUAGCAGAUGAAACUACUCUAGCAGUUAAAGGUUCUUUUGAAACAGAACUGUCUGGUGAUCAGUCUGGGCAGCCCUCAUUUUGUGCAUCCUAUCAAAAUGAAGACCCCUCAAAUGCUUUGAAGAAUAGCAGCCACCAUGAUGAGCUUCGACAGGAAGCCCAGGAGCACUUUUCUCAGAUAGGCUCUAGCAUCCAGAAAAAGGCAUUUAAAACAGUUGCACCUAAUGGACAGAAGUGUAACCUUGACAUUGCCUUUGAAUCUGUGCCUCAUUUAAAUGACUUUAACCAAAGAGUAAAUUCUGAUGCUGAAUGUAAUCAACGUUGUGCUGAAUUAUACACACAUCAGAUGUCCACUGAAGGUGCCAUGGCAAUGGAAGUUGGAAAGAAUUCUCUGUUGACGGAUGUAUCGCAUGAGUCUCCCUUACAGCCUGAUGAGUCUGGUAUACCAAUAACAUCAUUUGUUCCCCUUGGUGGUGAAACUAACAGUGAAAACUUAAUUCUCUCUGGGAAGAGUUCUCAGCUUUUAUCCCAAAAUAUUCCAUUAAGUGGAAAUACAUCUAAAACCAAUCAGUUUUGUGAAAGCUCUAACAACACAGCAAGACUUAAAACCAAUCUCCCUGGUUCUAAGUCACCAGACCCUGGAGAAAUGCAGAGUAAAACUGAGAUUCACAGCAUGCUGCCAGUUGCAUCACAACAACAUGCAGACUGCCAAGAUAAUUCUUCACUUCAAAGUAAAACAUUACCUGUGUCAGUUGAAAGUUCAAGUUUAACUGUACCUGAACAAGUAGACAUUCGUCUUGAAAAUUCAGUGUCUUCGGUUAAACAACCAUCUGAUGAUUCAUCAACUCCCAAGUUAAAACCUACAGAAAAACAGGAAACUCAGCCCUUCAAGUCUGAGAAAGUUGCCAUCGAUUCACACGAACCUUCAACUUUAAAAGAAGAUGGAGAUAGUAUUUUUCUGAAUUUAGGUGAAAGUGGUAACCAUGGGGAUGUUACAGUGAUUGCUCCAGAAGGUAAUCCUGUGGAAGAUAAGCAUUCUCUUCCUUCAGAAUCUGUGUGUUCUUCAGUGGGAGAUUCUCAGCCUGAGUCCCAAAAUACUAGUGAUAAACCUGCUGUGGACAACUCGGCAGACAUAGAUGCAUCAAAUAUUGUUUCUCUCAAAAUUAUUAUUAGUGAUGAUCCAUUUGUUUCCUCAGAUACUGAACUAAACAGUGCAGUUUCUAGUAUCAGUGGGGAAAACUUGCCAACUAUAAUAUUGUCCUCUCCUACCAAGUCGCCUUCCAAAAAUGCAGAAUUAGUUAAAUGCCUGUCUCCAGAAGAAACUGCAUGUGCUGUCACAUCUGCUGAAAGAUUAGGGGAUUCAGCAUCAGUGGAACAGAGCCUUUUGGCCCUCAAACCUGAAGACUCUGUCAUAAACAACACUCAGAAUGAAGGCAGCGUCACUUUUUCAGCCAGUGUUACACCAUGUGUUUCCAAGGAUGGGGGCUACAUACAGUUGAUGCCAGCUACAAGCACGACUUUUGGCAAUUCAAAUAACAUUCUCAUAGCUACCUGUGUGACUGAUCCAACAGCCUUAGGAACAACUGUAAGUCAGUCUAAUGUGGUGGUGUUGCCUGGAAAUUCUGCCCCUGUGAGUGCUCAGCCUCCCCUGCCCCAGUUACAGACACCACCAAGGUCAAACAGUGUGUUCACUAUCAACCAGACUGUGUCACCCAGCUUUUCACAAGGAUCUGCCAUCAUAAUUGCUUCUCCUGUCCAACCUGUACUCCAAGGAAUGGUGGGAAUGAUCCCUGUAUCUGUGGUUGGACAGAACGGAAAUACCUUCCCUGCCCCUCCUCAACAGGUCCUUCAUAUGCCUUUGGCAGCACCUGUAUGCAGAAGUAUCCCUCAAUUCCCCAUCCCUCCAAAAUCUCAGAAGACUCAGGGACAAAGAAACAAGCCCUGUACAGAAUUAUAUACUCUCUCGCAGGAAUGUUUUUCUCUUCUAAUUAUUUCAUUUAUAAUUCCAGGAAAGCAGGUAAAUAAUUUGGUGGAUUCACCUAGUCAUUUAGUUGGAUGUCAUACACAAAGAACUGAAGUAUCUGACAAGAAUAUGGCCACUGAUCUUGGGAAAAAAUUGGAAGAAAUGACAGUUCCCUUCUCAUUAGAGAGUAUAGUUCCAACUAGCAAACCGUUUGAAAGCCACAGACGUGUGCUCUGUUUUGAUAGCACUGCUCCUCCUGUGGCAAUUACACAGGGCACACACCAUAAGGUGGUGUCUCAAAACAAAGAAAGAAAUGACAUUUCAUUUCCUAAUCUUGAGUCACCCAUUGUGUCCUCCACCUUAAAGCCCCCUUCUACUAAUGCUCUCAAAAGGGAGAGAGAGAGACCUCCCUUGCCUAAGAUUUUAUCUAAAUCAGAAACUGCCAAUAGCCGACAUACCACCAUAAAAGAAACCCAGUCAGAAAAGAAGGUUUCACCCACAGAAACUGUACUUGAAUCUUUCCAUAAAGCAACAGCUAAUAAGGAGAAUGAAUUAUGCAGCGAUGUUGAAAGGCAGAAAAAUCCAGAAACUUCAAAACUGUCAAAUGGGCAGCAAAAUGGGGGUUUACGGAAUGAGAAAACCGUAGUAGCUUCACUGCAAGAACUAACCAAAAAACAAGGCACGUCCUCAAAUAGUAAAAAUGUCAUUGCAGUAGGUUCAGCUGUGAAGGAUCCAAAACAAGAACAAAGUAAAUGUGCCAGUUCUCUGAUAACCCCACUAACCAAACAUAGUACAGAAAUGCUACCGGAUGGUCAGUGGCACAGCCCUGUAAAUAGGCUCCCCGAUAGCUCUGAUUUACCUGUGCCCCGGACAUCUGGCUCAGGGGCAGGGGACAGACCAAAAGAAGACCCUAGAGAUGGUAUCAAGGUCCCCUCUAGUAGACGUUUUGGUGAAGACAGUAGCACGCCCAAGGUAACCGUCCCUCCUGUCAACCCAGACUUGCCUGCCUGCAGCCCUGCCAGUGAGACAGGGAGUGAGAACAGUGUAAGCAUGGCUGCCCACACCUUAAUGAUUCUCUCCAGAGCAGCCAUCUCCAGGACAGCUUCGACAACUCCUCUCAAAGACAAUACACAGCAAUUCAGAGCAUCAUCAAGGAGCACCACAAAAAAGCGGAAAAUUGAGGAAUUAGAUGAACGUGAACGAACCUCUCGUACUUCUAAUAAAAAUCUUGCAAAUUCAUCACUCCCAAUGAAAAAGAAGAAAAUUAAGGUUGAAGAAGUCCCCUUAACAUUUCUUAUAAGACUGGCCUGGUGGUGAUGAACUCCUUCAGCUCUUGCUUGUCUGGAAAACUUUCAUUCAAAUCUGAAGGACAACUUUGCUGGGUGGUUUCUGCCCAUUAGAUAAAACUGCCACAUCUCAUGGCCUUGACAGAGUCACAUAGUGUGGAGAUGAGCCUCCUCUGAGAGCCAGCUGAAGGUCUUUGUCGUCUGUUAAUCUUCUGUGAUUGCCCCUGCUGCCUGGUUUUCACUGGAUCCUAGGUUCUUUGGGAUCCAGGAGUGCAAGCCCUGUUGCUUAUCAAAGCCAGGUCCAGGGACCCAAUCUUUGGGAGGCAGCUACAAAAGGCCCUCGUGCAGCAUACCCCUGAGAGGCGAGAAGGCACCAGAUGGGGAUGAAGACACCUGUUUUCUCAUUUCAACCCUGUAACUGUCAGCAGUGUCUCAGCCUCACUCCACCCAAGUGAGAAAGGAAGGGCUUGGGUCUGAUCAACUCUCAGUCCGUGAAUCUGCAUCUGCUCUCCUCACACCACAGCACAUACAUGCUGAGUGAGCAGCCACCUCCUGCUUGACCUCAGGCCAAGAUGAGAGUGAAUCAUCGAAGCCAGUGGAAAGCACGAUCUAACAAAUGAACAUGGGUGCUUAGAUAGGUCAUCAUGUCUGGACGCGGUCAGUCAUCGAAUUUCAGGGUCAGCCUUAUUCUUAUCUAUGAUGAACACUCUUCUGGCAAAUACAAAAUUUGUUUUGAGUCUCCCAGAAUCUCAGAAAAGACCAAAUAAAGGGUCACCUGAAGACCAAAACGAUUCUCUAACCAAGACAAGCUAACAUUUGGCCUCCUCCCCAACAGAAGAAACUCAGACACUCCUGACCAUCAGAAACAACACAGCAGCUGCACUGAGGAGAAAGAUUAUCACUUCUAAAGCACAAAUGCUCUCAGAUUUUUAGUGUGUCUUUAACACUGUGUAUUAUUUUAGUUAUAAUAUGGGAAAGAAGUUCUUCUUACCUGAUGCCCACACAUGAGACUCUGAGAGGCCAUCAUGAUGGCCUUCAUUCCGGAGGCACAGACUUUGUUUACAGUGGUGCACGGGGUAGAAAUAGGUAAGCCUAAAACCAACACAAGUCAGUCCGGAAAAGCGAAGAUACUCUUCAAACACAACUCUAGGAUGUAGAUUAGUACAACAGAGCAGGUCAGCCUCUAAUCACAACAUCCUCACUCCCGCCAAUUUCAGUCUGCAUCAUGUUAUGCAUUUAACAUUGUAUUUAAGCUGAACAGCCUCCAUUUUGCUCUCCCAAACAUUUUACAUAUAAAAGCAAAGAUGUAUCCCCAGUACCUGCGCCCAGCGCCGCUUGCCUCGUUGGGGCCUGUCCCUCGCCUCCUUGUAGGACAUUCCCCAUGUAGGCUUCCUUCACUUCUUCUUUUGGAAUCCCUUUGAUUACAAAAACAAAACCGCGUUUCCAUGUUUUAUUCAAUUUAAAUGUAAUUAGUGAUUAUCUAAUAAGGUACAUGAUAUUACACAGCAGGAACAGUUUCUUCUUGUCAGCUUUGAGUUUCAUCCUAAACAUAAUACAAGGAUUUCUUUACAAGGAAGUUUAGAAAUACAGGCACUGAGUGUCUCUAAGUGUUAUAUAUAUAAUAAGUGCAAAACAAGUAUAACAAACAACAACAACAAGCCAGAAAAGCAAAGUAGCUACUGACCUGCCUUUUCAAUGACUCCCUGAAUUGCAAUGGAACCAAGUUUAGUGGCCGGCAGGGAGGAAAGGCUGCCCAAAAAGGAUCCAAUGGGUGUUCUUGCAGCACUUACUAUGACCACCUCCUGGCAAGACAGAAGUCAGUAAAACUCAUUACAUUUAAAUAUUGUAUCCAACCCAUCUUUCAUUAAAUACACAUAAUUCAGAUACAUAGUAGUCCCCCAAGCUUAUCCCUGGGGAAUAUGUUCGGAGACGCCCAAUGGGUGCAAGAAACCGCAGAGAGAACUGAACGCCAUAGUUUGUCUUCUCUACACAUACACACCCAAAAUGAAGCCAGGCUCAGAAGACCAGCGGCAGUAACUCAUCAAACAGAAGUUAUAACAAUAUGCUGUAACACAAGCUAUGAGAAUGUGGUCUCUCAACAUUGUGUGCUGGACUCGCCCUGGCAAGGGCCAUAUGAGAUGAUGACAUGUCUACGUGACAAGAUGAAGGCGAGUGACGGACACAGACUGUGUCAGCACUGGGUUACCACAGACGCUGACCAUGGCCAAGUGGAGCAUGAAGAAGGGGGAGGAACCACGUUAUUACCUAAGACACAGACAUCUUGAUGAAUGACCAUUUACUCCAUGAAGAUUAAUCUCACUAUGGGAGCAGCAGGAAGACUCAUCAGCUCACUGGUGCUGCGUUAUGAUUUCAGAUCCAACAGAAAACCUCAGACAAACCAACUCUAAAAUACACCUAGAUCCUUCCCAACUGUCCUCAGGCGGUUUAAAAGUAGAAGCUGAAAUUUCACUUCUACUCUGCAGUGAAAAUAUAAGACAUGAUCACUUGACCCGUGUUCACUGCUCAGUCAACAACCCCAACCAAACGACAUCCUUCCCGAAGGCAACUCUGGGCGAGGAGCCCAGGCCCACAUACUGCGUGGGGCAGCACCCCUUAAAAGGACAUGUGGAGCCACUGUUUCUUAAAUGAUUAAUAACAGCAAUAUGAACUUUAAAAAGAAGCAGACAAAAGCUCUCGUAAACAGCAUCAAACUCUCAUUUUAACAACUCUCUCACACUUGCCUUCCACAUUCUCCUACUAAGCUCAGAGAUAAAUAUGAGAGCUGCUCCUUCCAUUCUGACAGAAGGCUAUUACUAAGUCAUCCAAGGGACCCAUAGGAUCCAGGGCAGCCCUAAGAAAGCACCCAGAAACAGACAACGGUCCUCCCUGUCUUAUCCCCAGCCUGGACUGGCCCCUUCCUCCUAGUAUCUUCCACGUGGCCUCUGCAGUGUCCUACACCCAAUGAUGAGGGUCCCGGAAUGUCAAGAAGGAUACCGCACAGUUAGAAGUUUGUUCUGCAGGAGACACUGGCAAGCAGCAGCAGAAACUGAGCAGGACGCCAGACAGAGAUCUCUUCACUGGCAUUUGGGAGUUUAAUUUAGGAUUUCAACAGUGAGCCAUUCUAACCCCACAGCAUCCCAGGGGGACCCCAUAUCUAUGCACAUAUAAGAAUAUACAUUUUUAAGACUAUACUUCUCUUUAAAUUCUUGAAAUUUUAAAGCACAAUUUAAACAUACUUACAUUCAAAGUGGGUUUUGACACGUAACUUCGCUCCACGUAUCUGACUGCCUGUAAUGUAAAGAUUUGUAAAGUUACAACAUAAAAAAUUCUAAUUUACAUCUCUCAGUGGUGGAGUUCCGGUGAUUUCUUUCUGCUUCCUUAUAUUUUUAUUUCCACGUUCUUCACAGCAUAUGUCUCUGUUAUAAUCAUUAAAAAAAAAAAUCACUGUUUUGGAAUAUA